rnacentral:rRNA from 1 species
UAGCAUAUCAAUAAGCGGAGGAAAAGAAACCAACAGGGAUUGCCUUAGUAGCGGCGAGUGAAGCGGCAAUAGCUCAAAUUUGAAAUCUGGCACUUUCAGUGUCCGAGUUGUAAUUUGAAGAAGGUAUCUUUGGGUCUAGCUCUUGUCUAUGUUUCUUGGAACAGAACGUCACAGAGGGUGAGAAUCCCGUGCGAUGAGAUGUCUAGAUCUAUGUAAAGUUCCUUCGAAGAGUCGAGUUGUUUGGGAAUGCAGCUCUAAGUGGGUGGUAAAUUCCAUCUAAAGCUAAAUAUUGGCGAGAGACCGAUAGCGAACAAGUACAGUGAUGGAAAGAUGAAAAGAACUUUGAAAAGAGAGUGAAAAAGUACGUGAAAUUGUUGAAAGGGAAGGGCUUGAGAUCAGACUUGGUAUUUUGUAUGUUACUCUCUCGGGGGUGGCCUCUACAGUUUACCGGGCCAGCAUCAGUUUGAGCGGUAGGAGAAUUGCGUAGGAAUGUGGCUCGGCCUCGGUCGAGUGUUAUAGCCUUCGUCGAUACUGCCAGCUUAGACUGAGGACUGCGGCUUCGGCCUAGGAUGUUGGCAUAAUGAUCUUAAGUCGCCCGUCUUGAAACACGGACCAAGGAGUCUAACGUCUAUGCGAGUGUUUGGGUGUAAAACCCGUACGCGUAAUGAAAGUGAACGUAGGUAGGACCUUCUUUUGAAGCGCACUAUCGACCGAUCCUGAUGUCUUCGGAUGGAUUUGAGUAAGAGCAUAGCUGUUGGGACCCGAAAGAUGGUGAACUAUGCCUGAAUAGGGUGAAGCCAGAGGAAACUCUGGUGGAGGCUCGUAGCGGUUCUGACGUGCAAAUCGAUCGUCGAAUUUGGGUAUAGGGGCGAAAGACUAAUCGAACCAUCUAGUAGCUGGUUCCUGCCGAU